GACGAACGCUGGCGGCGUGCUUAACACAUGCAAGUCGAACGGAAAGGCCCUGCUUUUGUGGGGUGCUCGAGUGGCGAACGGGUGAGUAACACGUGAGUAACCUGCCCUUGACUUUGGGAUAACUUCAGGAAACUGGGGCUAAUACCGGAUAGGAGCUCCUGCUGCAUGGUGGGGGUUGGAACGUUUCGGCGGUUGGGGAUGGACUGGCGGCUUAUCAGCUUGCUGGUGGGGUAGUGGCUUACCAAGGCUUUGACGGGUAGCCCGCCUGGGAGGGUGACCGGGCACCAGAGGACUGAGAGAGGGCGCAGACGCGAACGUGGGGCAGCAGGGGGAAAUAUGGCACAAUGAGAGCAAGCCUGAUGCAACAACGCCGCGGGCGGGAAGACGGCCUGCUGGUUGAGAAACGCAUUCGGCUGUGACGAAGCUGUAGUGACGGUAAUGGGUGAAGAAGCACCGGCUAACUACGUG
rnacentral:rRNA from 1 species